CCGUGGUAAUUCUAGAGCUAAUACAUGCUAAAAAUCCCGACUUUUGGAAGGGAUGUAUUUAUUAGAUAAAAAAUCAAUGCUCUUUGAGCUCUUUGAUGAUUCAUAAUAACUUUUCGAAUCGCAUGGCCUUGCGCUGGCGAUGGUUCAUUCAAAUUUCUGCCCUAUCAACUUUCGAUGGUAGGAUAGUGGCCUACCAUGGUUUUAACGGGUAACGGGGAAUAAGGGUUCGAUUCCGGAGAGGGAGCCUGAGAAACGGCUACCACAUCCAAGGAAGGCAGCAGGCGCGCAAAUUACCCAAUCCCGACACGGGGAGGUAGUGACAAUAAAUAACGAUACAGGGCCCUUUCGGGUCUUGUAAUUGGAAUGAGUACAAUGUAAAUACCUUAACGAGGAACAAUUGGAGGGCAAGUCUGGUGCCAGCAGCCGCGGUAAUUCCAGCUCCAAUAGCGUAUAUUAAAGUUGUUGCAGUUAAAAAGCUCGUAGUUGAACCUUGGGCUUGGUUGGCCGGUCCGCCUUUUUGGCGUGUACUGGAAUCAAUCGAGCCUUUCCUUCUGGCUAACCAUUCGCCCUUGUGGCGUUUGGCGAACCAGAACUUUUACUUUGAAAAAAUUAGAGUGUUCAAAGCAGGCCUUUGCUCGAAUAUAUUAGCAUGGAAUAAUAGAAUAGGACGUUAUGGUUCUAUUUUGUUGGUUUCUAGGACCAUCGUAAUGAUUAAUAGGGACGGUCGGGGGCAUCAGUAUUCAGUUGUCAGAGGUGAAAUUCUUGGAUUUACUGAAGACUAACUAC
rnacentral:rRNA from 1 species